rnacentral:misc_RNA from 1 species
CUCAAUGCAAUCGGACUGACCACGCUCUUACGUCGGCCACUCGUCUCCAUUAUCACCGUGGGUCGUGCAUUGACGUAAAUCUUCGUCGCCCGUAGUUGGAAGACACUAGCGACGAUGAUGGUUAGGUUUCAAGCGCCAGGAUAUUUGCGAGACACGCAGGAUGUACAUUCAUGCAAAUAAAUGGAUGUCCACUUGCAGCUCUUGUAAAUUCCAGUUUUCGUUUAAC